rnacentral:rRNA from 1 species
GACGAACGCUGGCGGCGUGCCUAAUACAUGCAAGUAGAACGCACAGUUUAUACCGUAGCUUGCUACACCAUAGACUGUGAGUUGCGAACGGGUGAGUAACGCGUAGGUAACCUGCCUGGUAGCGGGGGAUAACUAUUGGAAACGAUAGCUAAUACCGCAUAAUAUUAAUUAUUGCAUGAUAAUUAAUUGAAAGGUGCAAUUGCACCACUACCAGAUGGACCUGCGUUGUAUUAGCUAGUAGGUGAGGUAACGGCUCACCUAGGCGACGAUACAUAGCCGAACCGGGAGGGGGAACCGGCCAACCUGGAACGGGGAACGGCCCCGGACCCUUCCGGGAGGAGGCGGAAGGGAAUCUUGGGCAAUGGCGGAAAGUCUACCGGAGAAAGGCGGGGGGGGGAAGGAGGGUUUUGGGUCGUUAAGGCUCGUUUGUAAGGGAGAAAGGGGGGGGGGGGGGGAAGUUCACACUGUGACGGUAUCUUACCAGAAAGGGACGGCUAACUACGUG